UCCUGUUGCCCUAAACUCGAACCCCCUUCGACCAAACGAAUAAAAACCGGAGCUUCUUUCUGUUCUCUCCCUUUGGACAGGGCUCGGUGGGGCUGGAGUCCAUAAAACCUGAAGUGACUCCUCCCGAGCGCCCUUGGGCUCUCCUGUCUCUUGGAAGUGGACAGCAGGGCCACAGGUGUGCGCCACCACAGCCACCCGAGCCAGAUUCCCCUCUGCUGAGAAGCCCGGGCUGUGGGCGGCCUCCUCAGCCUGCGUCUGCUGGGCCGGGCCCAGACGUGGACCAGCCCCUCGCUGGAGGAGGGAUGCAGCUCUGCCCUACGAGGGAAGGAGCUGCAUACCCCGGAGGAGCCUGUCACCCUCACCCUCCCCGGCCUGGCCACCAGGGGUCGAUUUCUGUCCCCUCGUCGUGCCUGUCCCCGACUCCUCAGAGAAACGGACCCCCCAGCAGGUGGCCCUGCAUCCACCUGUGACACCAGCGAUGUCCACCAGGCCCACGUCCGCCUCCCUCGCUGGCCCGAGACACAGCCGCUGUGCACCAUGGGGCCGCGUGGAUGGGCUGUGUUCCGCGUCUACCCCCAGCCGGGAGCCAAGUGGGUUUUGUGCAGAGACAAUCUGGGGGCAAUUUGAUGAGCAUGCGCUGAUCUCACUAAGUUGUCCAGGCUGACUUCAAACUUGCAAUCCUCCUGCCUCAGCCUCCCGAGCAGCCAUCCUCCGAGCUGGUUUUCGCAGGACCCUCGACCCCUAGUGUGGUCACUCUGUCCCUUCUCCUGUGGCCGCCUCUCAAGACUUCUCUGGGUGACGGCACCCGUAUCUCCCUCCCUCGGCCGCUGUCCCCACCAAGGUCCCGAGGCUGGCCACGUGCGUCCAACCCCCUUUCAUCUCUGCCCUCGCGCUUGUCAGGCACCCACGUGGCAUUGGCACUGUGGCCCUGGGCCCGGCCUUGGGCUCUCUGAGGUCAACACCACGCACAUCUGGACCUUGAGGACAAGUGGCCCGGGUAAGAUGGCCAGGGCAAGCUGGGGCCAAAGGAGGGGGUGGCGUCAGGCCCAGGCCGGCCAAGGCCUCAGCAAAGUGACUCCCCCUUUCCAAGGACUGCCAACAUCACUAGGACCACAGCAAUCCCUAGUGCAAGGAAUCAAUAAAUGUGUAUUAAUUCAGGAGUUGCUACCUGAUGCCUAAUGCAUGAAUUCGCUAACUGAUGACUUCAAGCAUUCACCGAGUACCCGCCUGGUUGUGAGAGAGGAGAGACCAGCGUCUCCCUCCAGGAACCUGCAGACAGAGUGGGUGACUUGCCAUCGAGAGGGCUGGAGCUCAAGUGUACAGCAGACUAAACACUGAAGGAUUUUUCUGAGGAGUGGGCUUUGGGCUGAGACCCGGGAGAGAAGGAGUCAGCCACAGUGGGACCUAGGGUGAGAGUAUUUUAGAAGUGAGAACAGCAAGUGCAAAGGCCCUGGGGCAAGAGAAAGCUGGGGCUGUCUCAGGAGCAGAGAGAAAGUGAGGAUGAAAAAAAAUAAAUAUAUAAAUAAAAAUAAAUAAAUAAAAAAGCGAGGACACUGGGGUGGAGGGGGAGAGGGGCCUUGGAUGGCAGCAGGGGCAGCCACACGAUCCAGAAGCUGCCACCAAGGGGUUCAGUCCUUACCACAGCCCUGGGGACAUCGGCACGAAGACUGGAGUCUCAGGAAGGCCCUGGACUCGGGCGGGAGACCAGAGGUCGGAUUCCCUGGAAGCUGACUCUGCUGAUACCCUGGGCCCAGCCACGGGAAGUCAGGGGUUGGCCAGGCCUCCGCGCUGGACUGCAGGUUCGAGCCCAGGCUGGGCAGCUGAGCAACUCAGGGAGAUCCUGUCUUAGAAAAAAAAAGCUGGUGUGCAGCGCAGCGCAAAGGCGCGGGGUUAGAACCACGCCGGGUGGUGCCGGGUGAUAAAGCUGAGGCCCGGAGGGCUCUCGGAUAAGGCGCCCCGCUGGGCGAGUGGGCCGCGGGGGCGAGGCAGCAGUGAUCUGCUCCCGGGCGAGGCCGGCAUGGAGGGCGUGGGCACGGGGGUGGGGGGGAGGUGGAGACCCGGUCCAGGCUUUGGGGUCCGGCUGAGCUAGCCAAGGCCUCCUUGGUGUGAGCAACGAGGGCAGUUGGUCCCGGGGCGGCUCCCGCCCAAACCGGCAGGGGCGUGGCCGGGGCCUGACAUGCCUCCACCCUUCGCCAACCCGCACCAACCCCCACGCCCACCCUCUCCUCGCCAC
rnacentral:lncRNA from 1 species